AGAGAGAGACAUGCGCGCAUAUCAAUAAGCGGAGGAAAAGAAACUAACAAGGAUUCCCUUAGUAACGGCGAGUGAAGCGGGAAGAGCUCAAAUUUGAAAUCUUCAAGGUUUUACCUUGACGAAUUGUAGUUUAAAGAAGUGUUUUCUGCUGAAGUUUUGGUAAAAGUUCUUUGGAAUAGGACAUCAUAGAGGGUGAGAAUCCCGUAUUUGACCAUUAUUUUCAGCUUUGUGAUACACUUUCAAAGAGUCGGAUUGUUUGGGAAUGCAGUCCAAAAUGGGUGGUAAAUUUCAUCUAAAGCUAAAUAUUGGCGAGAGACCGAUAGCGAACAAGUACCGUGAGGGAAAGAUGAAAAGAACUUUGAAAAGAGAGUUAAACAGUACGUGAAAUUGUCAAAAGGGAAGCGUUUGACACCAGUGUUGUUUUCCUCGAAAAUCAAUUAAAAAUGGCUCGAUUUUGUAUUGUUGAGACCUUAAAAGCUCACUGUACAUUUUUCCGUGUCUUUUUUUAAUGCACUUUUCGUUUAACAAGUCAACAUCAGUUUCUUUUGUUGUAAAAGGGUCAUUGGAAGGUGGCUUUCUUUUCGGAGAAAGUGUUUAUAGCCUUUGGCCUCUGCAAUCGGAAGAGACUGAGGUCUGCAGCGUAGACUCUUCGGGGUUAGAUACAUUUGUGCUAAGUUAUAGCUUUUUAUAGACAACUUGUUGACUAUAAUUAGUCUUGUAGCUUACUCGCUUAUGCUAUUUUACCUACGCUUAGGAUGUUGAAGAUGUAGCACAUCAU
rnacentral:rRNA from 1 species